AGAAGAUCAAUAAAAUAAGAGGUUUUGUCGUUAUAGAACACGGAAUUCACUGGAAGCAAUGAUAAAUAAAUACAAAUAGAAAAGGAAAGGGAGGAAAUACAAAAAAAUAGAAGAGAAAAGUCAUACAAAGUUAUAUACAAAUCACUACCCCCUUUUUUGUAUUUCCUUAAUUUAUUUCCUUAAUUGAAUUUCGGUUGAUUAAGACGAAGUUCCUUAAAAACCUCUGCCUUCUUUAAAAUAUCCUGAACAGUUUCUGUAGGUUGAGCCCCUUUUUCAAGGAAAUAUAAAAUAGCAGGAACAUUUAAAUAAGUUUGAUUCUUUAUCGGAUCAUAAAAACCCACUUUCUGAAGAUCUUUUCCUUCUCUUCGGGAUCGAACAUCAAUUGCAACGAUUCGAUAGACGGCUCAUUGGGAUAGAUGUAGAUGAACAACACCCCCCCUAGAAACGUAUAGGAAGCUUUCUCCUCGUACGGCUCGAGAAAAAUGAUUGAUUCGAAGUUUUGUCUCUGUAUGGAAUUCUAUCUAAGAAAUGACAACUGGAUCCAUAAAAUGAUCAAAGCAAUUAAAGAUCUAAGUCUUUUUUUCUUCGUUCUUCCUUAAAAUGAAAAAUAAACCAUUCGUACUCUCAUAACUCAAGUUGGAUAACUUUCAAACAGUUCAAAGGAAAAUCUUUCGGCAAUUUCAUUUAUUGAGCGGUCUUUCCUCCUUUUUUGUUUGUCUCGUUUAAAAUCGGAUUCUUCAGUCUGAUCCAGUUAUUAAGACAAUUAAAAAGGUGUUUCCUUGUUCUGGGAUCCUUUAUCUUUGUUUUAUUUUAAAUCAUUGGGUUUAGACAUUACUUCGGUGCUUUUUAAUCCUUUCAAAAUGGCAGCAACAUACCCUUUUUGCGAUUUUUAUGAAAGAAUCCUACAAGAUGAUGGAUUCCCUCGUGAAACACUUUGGAUCGAAAAAGUUUGAUCAAUUCCAAUAAAUUUUUUAAUUUGAAACUUGCUCGAAUUGGAUUCUUUCGAUUUCCAUACCUAAGAUAUAUUAGAUAUAUUUACGAAGUUGUUUCAAUUGUUUUAUUGAUUGGCAUUAACCCUAGACCCUUGCCCCGAGAAAGAAAUUAAUACUUUCUACUCGAGCUCCAUCAUGGACUAUUUACAUUCCAAGACAACAAAAAACGAGGGGUUCUAGUGAAACAGAACCAAUGAUGUCGAGUUAAGAGCACCUUCAUUCCUACAAAAAAUGGUGGAUGUACAAAUCCACAACGGAUCGUGUCCUUCAAGUCGCACGUUGCUUUCUACCACAUCGUUUCAAACGAAGUUUUACCAUAACAUUCCUCUAAGAACCGGUAUGGAAUUGAUUCAAUUAUGGAAUCAUGAAUAGUCAUUGGUUGGGCUGAUGUAUAAACACCAUAAUCUAAAGUAUUUUCUAUAUCUUCUAUAUCUAUAGUAUAUAGAUAUAAAUAAUACUAUAGAUUAAUACUAUAGAUAUAGGGUGGAUAAAUAUUUUUCUGAAGAAGUCUUAGUAAGACCCCAUCGCUAAUAUUAAAUUGUCUAACAUUAUAAUAUUAAUUAAUAAAUAUAUAUAAUAAAAAAUUUUUUUAUAUAAAUAAAAUAAGACGAAUAAACGAAUUCUUUUUAAUUCUGCAUCUUCACGUGACUUAAUAGGAGAGAAAGAUUCAGCUUCUAAGGAAUGAUUUAAACUAUUUCUCUUUCGAAAUUUCGAAUCAAUUUCGAAAGUUCCCCUCUCGACAUCAUUAUUCCAAGAAAAUUUGAUAGUUAAAAAUAACUUUUGAUCAUCUUAGGAAAAAAGAUAAGUCUUUUUUUUUUUUUUUUCAUCUGAUUAAUAAAAUCCAAAGAAUGGGGAGGGUUUCGUAUCUAUCAAUUCGAUCAAAUAGACUGAGCAAUUGUCACCGUUUAUAGAUAUUGAAAUGAACGCCUUCCCAUCACUGAUUAACUCCUAUCUACCCCAUUCUCUGGGACUGAUGCAGCAUAAAUCAAAAGAAGGGGAUGUCCUAGUCUUUUUUUUUACGAAAUGCGAGCUGGCUGGGCACAAAGCCAAACAAGCCCAGAUUAAGUCCAGUUUUUGCUCCUUUUUUCUAUUUUAGCCUACCUCAUUGAUUAAGAAUUAAGAGACUUAGUGAAUUGAAUUAGUACCAAAAACCCCUUCUUGGCGAAAAGUCAAGAAAUCCACAAAAAAGCAAAUUGAAUCUAAUUAGGCUAAUUUAGGGGGUAGAGAAUAUGAGAUAGGGAAUAUGGAUUCUUUCGUAUCUCGAUUCAGUUUUUGAAAAAAAAAAACGAUUCAUCGAAGAAAAAAAUCAGAAACAACAAUCACAUUCCAGCUAACAUUUCGAUUUUAAACAGAACAUUGUUAAAAAAGCAAUCUAUAUUGUCAGAGAAUAUAUAUGUUCUGGGACGGAAGGAUUCGAACCUCCGAAUAGCGGGACCAAAACCCGUUGCCUUACCACUUGGCCACGCCCCAUUUAGAUUUCUAUGCGAUACUAAUAAAGUAUAUUGCUG
rnacentral:lncRNA from 1 species